rnacentral:tRNA from 1 species
AUUGAACCUCAAAGUACUAAAGCUAUCAUUGAAUCAAAAAAAUAUAGAUGUUGCAA